rnacentral:rRNA from 1 species
AUGGGAACGCGAAGAACCUUACCUAGACUUGACAUCUCCUGAAUAGUGUAGAGAUACAUGAAGCCCUUCGGGCGAGGAAGACAGGUGGUGCAUGGUUGUCGUCAGCUCGUGUCGUGAGAUGUUGGGUUAAGUCCCGCAACGAGCGCAACCCUUAUUACUAGUUGCUACCAUUAAGUUGAGCACUCUAGUGAGACUGCCCGGGUUAACCGGGAGGAAGGCGGGAGUGACGUCAAAUCAUCAUGCCCCUUAUGUCUAGGGCAACACACGUGCUACAAUGGUGAGCACAGAUAGAUGCGAUACCGCAAGGUGAGCCAAACUCUAAAACUCAUCCCAGUUCGGAUUGUAGGCUGCAACUCGCCUACAUGAAGUUGGAGUUGCUAGUAAUCGCGAAUCAGAAUGUCGCGG